CAAAGGAGGAGCAAAGUCAUGUCUUACAUGGCAGCAGGACAUUUUUAAAGAUUGGAAUGAUCUCGUUCUUGAAACCUAGGUGGGAUACGAUCAUUUACCAGACUCUAUGUUGAAGAUGCCUGGACUAACCUACUGAAGAUACGUGGUUUUACCAACAGCCAGCACCAAUAGGAAGAUAUGAAUGAAGCCAUCUGAGACCAGCCAUCUGGCAGCCAAACUGCCAACUGACUGCAAAUGCAUGAAUGAUCCCACUGACACCACGUAGAGCACAAAUGAGUUGCCUCCACUGAGCCCAGCCCAAAUUGUUAUCCUAUAAAAUCAUAAAAACAUAAACAGUUGUUUUAAGUCACUAAGUUUUGGAUAGUUUGUUAUACAACAAAAGCUAGCUGAAACAAAUGUAUUAGCUAGAGCAGCUGUGAAUGGCACUAUUUGCUUAGUUGAUUGGCUGAAAUUUGGACUCACUGGUAGGUUACAUUUAAUGGUGUUGAGUUGCCAGAAUUUCUCUGGAAUAAUGUAUAGGAAGGAUUCUAAUGGCCUAAGCCAUUAGAAUCUCUAAGGAGAUAGAAAUAAAGGAGUGAUUUAUUAUAUGUAACUGUGCCUCUUCCCUCACCACACUUGGUCCUGAAAGAGCCUAAGGAAUAGUUUCUUCUCUAAAGCAUUGAAAAAUGCUUUAAUGGGAGAAGCCCCAGCACCCUUGAACAUGUUCAGGCAGCUGCUUUCUAUAGGCCAAGGAUGUGGUGGGAAAAUCUGCCUGAUCUCAAUGUAGAUGAUGAGAUCCCAGAGUAGCGAUCAGCAUUUUUUACCAGCAGGAAUAAUCUUUGGUGGUGGUUGGCUCUAAGAAUUAAAUAGAUGUGGGCCGGGCGUGGUGGCUCAUGCUUGAAAUCCCAGCACUUUGGGAGGCUGAGGUGGGUGGA
rnacentral:lncRNA from 1 species